rnacentral:rRNA from 1 species
AGAGUUUGAUCAUGGCUCAGGAUGAACGCUGGCGGCGUGCCUAACACAUGCAAGUCGAGCGAUUCUCUUCGGAGAAGAGCGGCGGACGGGUGAGUAACGCGUGGGUAACCUGCCCUGUACACACGGAUAACAUACCGAAAGGUAUGCUAAUACGGGAUAAUAUAUUUUUAUCACAUGGUAAAAAUAUCAAAGCUCCGGCG